GACGAACGCUGGCGGCGUGCCUAAUACAUGCAAGUCGAACGCAGUGGGGACGGUUGAGUAACACGUGGGUAACCUCCCAUCAAAGGGGAUACCACUUGGAAACAGGUGCUAAACCCAUACUGAUGGAUGGACACGGGGUGCAUUAGCUAGUUGGUGAGGUACCGGCUCACCAAGGCCACGAUGCAUAGCCGACCUGAGAGGGUGAUCGGCCACACUGGGACUGAGACACGGCCCAGACUCCUACGGGAGGCAGCAGUAGGGAAUCGUUCACAAUGGACGAAAGCCUGAUCGAGCCACGCCGCGUGAGUGAAGAAGGUUUUCGGAUUGUAAACCUCUGUUGGUAGAGAAGCGGUAUCUAACCAAAAAGCCCCGGCUAACUCCGUGCCAGCAGCCGCGGUAAUUC
rnacentral:rRNA from 1 species